rnacentral:lncRNA from 1 species
CUUGAGUGCACUCUCUCCAAUGAUGCACCGAUCAACAUCCUUCUCCAGAAGCUCACACUCGAGUACAAGUCCUUCUUCAGCUAAAGUAGUGGGCCUUAUCCUUCGAUUCCAUGCUCGAAAUGGCUGCAAAUUAAGAGAGGAUUCAAAAACCUGGAGCAUACUAUCCCAAUACACCAUAGGACACACUCAAGCAUAGUCAUGUCCAAAUCAUAGUGCAACCUAGAAUUCCAAAUAUCCUCUUUAAGAAACCAUGUAUCCUAAAUAUCGCCACCUAGGAAACCAAAUAUCCUUCAGAAUACAAAAUUAAAAGGAUCAAAUAUUCUCCAAAACUUCCUAAUAUUCUUAGAUAUUCUGAAUAUUUUCAUGUUAGGAAGCCGAAUAAUCCCAAAUCCCAAGAUAGGCAGGUCAACCAUUUAGAAUCUCCCAGUAAGAAAACCAAAUGUCCAAAUUGGGUAGUUUCAAUAACUUGAAAAGGAAAAUUCACGCUUCGCUACAUGCUAGAAGUGUCCAAAUUUGAUCAACCACCAACAAUGGAUUCAGAUUGACAUUCUGAUCAAUCCUCUCAAGUUCCGUAUUGAGAUCUGAUAGUGCUAUGAUAUCUGGCAUGCAGGGAAGAAGGCCCACAAUGGCAAAUGCAACAUGGGACACAUGGCACCUCUAUACUGGUUCGAACAACUGCUUUCUUGUUUUAGGGUGUAUUUUUCCUAUAUUAAAUCAAUUUUCAUGUCAUUUUAGUAGUCAAAGACCUGAACAGAAAACCUAAGCCUAAUUUCUAGUCAUGGAAAUUCUACAACCCCAACACCCUAACUUAAGUCAUUGAAUCCCUAAUUCAAGGAGCCUAUUCCAGCUAUUUUUAGAGAAAAAAUAACUCAUUUUAGUCAACAAAGCCCUAGAUAUAAAAGUUUCUAGGCAUCCCUCUCUUCCCGAGAGUGCAAUCAAUCAUUCAGGAUCGUCAAUCUAGAAAAUCAAAGAGUAAAGAUUGCCACUUCACCAUCUGAUCCGGGCCUAACUCCAGGUACUCUUUCUUUUAUUAAUUGAUAUGUUUUACUGCUUUCUUAUAGUUAUUUUUUUCUGGUUUAGUAUAUUUGUUCUUCUUAUUUUCUUAUUUUAUCCUCUUUAUUUUCAUUGGUAUUCAUUUUAAUUCCUUUGAUUAGCCUCUUAGAAUAUUUGUUCAUCUUUAUUUACCUCGAGUAUUGUUUUCUUGCUUUCUUGUUUCUUUAGUAGUUUAUUUUCUUGCUCCUCUUUGUUCCACUUUCUCUUCUGUGUUUAUUUUGGAUUUCGCACUAUCCAUGCUAGCUAGCCCUCAAAGCUACAAAGAAUAGGUCUUUUAAGAUAGUUUUCUUUGCAAAUCUGAAUUUGAUGGUGCCCACCUCUCUUGACUCAUCUAAGUAACUAAGUGUGCGCACGAUCUUAGACAUAUCAGACUUCCACUAGUCUGGUCGAUCUAUUAUUCGCAGAUGUAUAACACCUCAAGAAGAUCCUUGCCAAGAUGAAAUUAAUGAAAUUAUAGUGAAUGAAUGAAAGGCCCAACCCAAGCUUCAAUCUCCUUCUAAGAUGCUUAGAGACAUGGGGGCAUGCCUACGGAAUUCACUCCCAUCAAGGAAUCAAUGAGUGAUGUUCUUGAGUUACUGCUCAAGAACAAAUUCCUACAUCUUGGAUUCCUCCUUUUCCUAUUGGAGACAAAUCAAUUGUUGUGAGUGGCAUCACAUUAUACCCAUGACACUGAAGAAUGCCUUUCUCUUAGGCAUAUUGGUCAGGACUUGAUCAAUAAAAGCAUCAUAACAUUUAUAAAGAAGACCAAAGCGAAAGACAAGCAUACUUCCGAGCCUAAUAAAAAAGAGAGUGUCUUGGCCACCUCAUUUUCAGAUGGUAUUGAUGGCACAUAUAAAAAAGAAGAGGCAAGUCUAGCUUCCCAAAUAGUGGUUGAAGUCAGCUUAAUUAACACUAAUAAGCCAGGAGUGCCCCAGCCUGAAGACCAUCCCCUAUGGCCAUGGGGCACAAGUCGAAACCAACUUGAGAACUAAGAUGACCAUAAGCAGGAAAAUUAUAUUCGAAUUGGAUGUUUUGUAGUCCACCAUUUUAAAAAGUUAUCUAUGUUUACAUAUGAAAAUUAUCUACGUUUAAAACAAGGUUAGGACCGAGAUCCCGUACGCCAUCAGUUGGGGAGACAUGGUGUGGGAUGCAUGAAGUCUUUAGGGGUAACCGGAGGCAAUGUAUUCGGUAAUUCUAAUGGCAUCAUGUUUCUUGAUUCUUCAUGCAUUAUAUUUUUGUUUAAUUUAAAAAAUUAUAAUGGCAUGCAAGAGAUGAUACCAUAUUGUGGUUUGUGCAAUAAAUUGAUGUUGUAUCUUGAACAUUUGUGAAUGUUCUAGCUGAGAUGAAUAAAAAAAAGAAGAAAAUUUUUAAUACUUGGCUAGAUCACAUUAUCCACCUUUCGCUUAUAUAGGAAAUUUGCUGCUUAAAUGUUCAAACUUAGUGAAUUUAGCUGAAUACUUUCACCCUAACUUGAGUAUUCCCAUUGGUUAAAUUUGGGGUUAUUUUGGCUUUGUUCUGGAUAGGCUGAUGAUACUGCUAAUCUGGGUUAUCCGCUUCCAUUGCGAGACUUGGCCCUAUAUGGCAUGUAGGUUGAAGAGUGCCUUUGAUGUUGAACCUAGGGCUUAAUGCCAGGCUGAAGGAUGGAUGGAUAGGUAGCCACACCUGUUGUUUCAUGUCAUAUCUAUCUUAUUAAAUAUUAAGCGAGAGGAGGUCCCCACUUAUUAUUCGUUAAGUAUCAUUUUUAUUUUCUAAACUUGCCCUCUCUCCACACUUUCUUUCUCUCUCUCACAUCCUCUCUCUCUCUUGUCUCUCUAUCUCAUUAGACAUCUCUAUCUCUCUAGACAUCUCUAUCUCUACACACAUUAAUUUUAGGAUGGGUUAGAGAGAGGGAUAAAAAAUUAGAAAGAUAUAAAGUUAGAAAGAGAGGUACGUGGUGAGUAUUGAAUUAGUAGAGAAGAUAUACAUGUUUCAAAAUUUUAGGACAUCUCUAUCCCUACAGUAAUAUACAUAUUCCUAAAAAGAGAUGAUAUGUAGAAAGAAAAUUAGAAAGAGAGGAGAGGUGUGUUAGAGAGAGAAAGAUGAUAUGUAGAAGCUCUUUUUUUUUAUCUCUCUUUCUUUCUCUCUCUCACGGCUUUUUAUCUAUGUCGAUAUCUUUAUCUCUACAUAAUAUAUUUUUUUACAUUUUAUCUAUGUAGAUAUCUUUAUCUCUACAUAAUAUAUUUUUUUAAAAAGAGAUGAUAUGUAGAAAGUCAGAAAGUUAGAGAGAAAGGAGAGGCGUGUCAGAAAGAGAUUGGAAGUUUGUUAAAAUUAUUAAAGUAUAUUUUCUAGAAAUCAUAAUAGUUUUUAUUUAAAUUUAUUUGGAGUGAUGUAGUGAUGUUGUAUUUAUAAUUUUGUGUAAUACAAAGUUUUUGUGUAAUAAGAAGUUAUGGAACUACAAGGAGGUUAAUAGUUAUUGUUGUAAGUUAGGGGUUAUUGUUGUAAGUGGGUAGUUAUUAUAGUAAAUAUGGUUGUAAGAAUUUUUAUUUAAAGAGAGACAUGUGGUGGGAAAGUUCAGUAACAUGUAUUAAGACUAAUCUUGUGUAUCAAGAUUGUAAUGCCUUUAUGUACCCCAUGUUUUUCUUUAAUGAAUGUUUUUCUUCCACUUCAUCUUGUUUUUUGUGUCUUUUUUCUAUUUAGUUGUGUCUUGGGCUAGUGUGACAUUGUCACAUUAAUUGAGAAGCAGAUUGUUCUGUUAUUGGGAACUCUGUCUUUGUCCACAUGGUAUCAGAGCCGCAAGGAUGGUGGUUAUGUUGUACUCCCUUGAUAAAGAAGAUCAAUUGUUUUUUUGAAGAUGGAUUCAGGUGAAAAGUCUAAUAGUUUUAAUGUUGAGUUGGGAACUCAACUCAAGACGAUCUUUCUAUUCCCAAUGCUUCUUAAUAUCGAUAAUCUUUAUUUGGUGGUCUCCCAUUGAUGCGAAUUCUUCUUAAUAUCUAGAAUCUUUAUUUGGUGAUCUCCCAUUGAUGCAAAAGAACCUAUUUACAAGCACAAAUGAAGUGACUUAUCAUUCGUGGGUUAAAGAUGGAGUAUAUUCCUUAUGUUACUUCUAUUCGAGGGUGGGUUAUGUAGGCAACCUUGGUAGAGUUUGAGAAUAUCUUUGGUGGCCAAUUAAAUUGUCGGAUUUUCAAUUUCGAGAAAUGAUGGAGAUGAUCGUCUAUGCGUAGUCUCCUUUCUAAAAAAUCACUUUAAAUGGGCGUGUUAAAAUUAUUAAAGUAUAUUUUCUAGAAAUCAUAAUUGUUUUUAUUUAAAUUUAUUUGGAGUGAUGUAGUGAGGAUGUAUUUGUAAUUUUGGGUAAUAAGAAGUUUUUUGUGUAAUAAGAAGUUAUGGAACUAUCGGGAGGUUGAUAGUUAUUAUUGUAAUUUAGUAGUUAUUGUUGUAACUUGGUAGUAAUUAUUGUAAAUGUAGUUGUAAGAACUUCUAUUCAAAGAGAGGUGUCUGGCGGAAAAAUUGGAUCACAUGUAUUAAGGUUAAUCUU